GAAAUACUAGUUAAAUAAUAACAAUGUCUUGUCAAGACAUAAUUACCUAAGGUGUACUUCU
rnacentral:tRNA from 1 species